rnacentral:rRNA from 1 species
CGUAGGUGACCUGCGGAGGAUCAU